CACCAGCGCCACAAGUGGGAAUCAUAUUUAUUGGGUCUAAAGCGUCCGUAGCCGGCUUGGUAAAUCUUUUGUGAAAUCAUUUAGCUUAACUAAAUGGCGCGCAGAAGAGACUGCCAGGCUUGGAACUGGGAGGGGCUAGAGGUAUUCAGGGGGGAGCAGUAAAAUGCUAUAAUCCCCUGAAGACCACCUGUGGCGAAGGCGUCUAGCCAGAACAGAUUCGACGGUGAGGGACGAAAGCUAGGGGAGCGAUCCGG
rnacentral:rRNA from 1 species